rnacentral:misc_RNA from 1 species
UUGCUGGGCUAAUCGUCCGCAAGUUGUUCACUGUUUCAACAAAACGCCGGUUAAACCGGCGUUUUUUA